rnacentral:rRNA from 1 species
UUGAUCCUGGCUCAGGAUGAACGCUAGCUACAGGCUUAACACAUGCAAGUCGAGGGGAAACGACAUCGAAAGCUUGCUUUUGAUGGGCGUCGACCGGCGCACGGGUGAGUAACGCGUAUCCAACCUGCCCACCACUUGGGGAUAACCUUGCGAAAGUAAGACUAAUACCCAAUGACGUCUCUAGAAGACAUCUGAAAGGGAUUAAAGAUUUAUCGGUGAUGGAUGGGGAUGCGUCUGAUUAGCUUGUUGGCGGGGUAACGGCCCACCAAGGCGACGAUCAGUAGGGGUUCUGAGAGGAAGGUCCCCCACAUUGGAACUGAGACACGGUCCAAACUCCUACGGGAGGCAGCAGUGAGGAAUAUUGGUCAAUGGACGAGAGUCUGAACCAGCCAAGUAGCGUGCAGGAUGACGGCCCUAUGGGUUGUAAACUGCUUUUAUAAGGGAAUAAAGUGAGUCUCGUGAGACUUUUUGCAUGUACCUUAUGAAUAAGGACCGGCUAAUUCCGUGCCAGCAGCCGCGGUAAUACGGAAGGUCCGGGCGUUAUCCGGAUUUAUUGGGUUUAAAGGGAGCGUAGGCCGGAGAUUAAGCGUGUUGUGAAAUGUAGACGCUCAACGUCUGCACUGCAGCGCGAACUGGUUUCCUUGAGUACGCACAAAGUGGGCGGAAUUCGUGGUGUAGCGGUGAAAUGCUUAGAUAUCACGAAGAACUCCGAUUGCGAAGGCAGCUCACUGGAGCGCAACUGACGCUGAAGCUCGAAAGUGUGGGUAGCAAACAGGAUUAGGUACCCUGGUAGUCCACACCGUAAACGAUGAUUACUAGGUGUUGGAGGAUUGACCCCUUCAGUGCCGCAGUUAACACAAUAAGUAAUCCACCUGGGGAGUACGACCGCAAGGUUGAAACUCAAAUGAAUUGACGGAAGGGCG